UUGAGAAACAAAGAAGUGCUCACGUUGUGUU
rnacentral:piRNA from 1 species